rnacentral:rRNA from 1 species
AGCAGCCGCGGUAAUUCCAGCUCCAAUAGCGCAUAUUAAAGUUGCUGCAGUUAAAAAGCUCGUAGUUGAAUUUCGGGACUAAUAUGUCGGUCGUGCCUCGGUACGUACUGGCUUAUUGGUUUCUCCUUUCUGAAGAACCAUGAUGUCAUUUAUUUGGUGUCGUGGGGAAUCAGGACUGUUACCUUAGAAAAAAUUAGAGUGUUUAAAGCAGGCUCACGCUUGAAUACAUUAGCAUGGAAUAAUGAAAUAGGACGUUUGAUUCUAUUUUGUUGGUUUCUAGGAUCGACGUAAUGAUUAAUAGGGAUAGUUGGGGGCAUUAGUAUUCAAUUGUCAGAGGUGAAAUUCUUGGAUUUAUUGAAGACUAACUACUGCGAAAGCAUUUGCCAAGGAUGUUUUCAUUAAUCAAGAACGAAAGUUAGGGGAUCGAAGACGAUCAGAUACCGUCGUAGUCUUAACCAUAAACUAUGCCGACUAGGGAUCGGAUGAUGUUAAUUUUUAAUGACU